rnacentral:lncRNA from 1 species
UCCUGGCUGCUUUCUGAUCAAGAUGUAGAACUCUCAGCUCCUUCUCUAGCGCCAUGUCUGCCUGCAGACUGCCAUGCUCCCUGCCAUGAUGAUGAUGAUGCUGAUGGACUAAACCUCUGAAACGAAAUACAUCUGGAUCACCUUGGCCGAACCUCAGGGUAUUGAGAAGGAUCCACUUGGUUGGGAAACUAACCAGGCAAAGGAGAAACUUGAACACCACUGUCCCUCUUCUGCCAAGAUGUCGGUUGACCCUCUCUUCAUAAUAAGAGUUCUGAAGUCGUGAAAUGGAUUCCAUUUCUUUUAGGACUUUACUAACGUGGGCAUCAGCCUAGAACGGCAGAUGCUCUGACUGAGCAAGGAGGAGAGUGGUUGAAGCUCUAACCCACGACUCUUUCUCCUUCUCUUCAUUGUCUGAGUAACCAGGACGGCACAGUCUUACACACCAUCUGGGGUUCCUACCCUCUGAUGUUAGCUGUCUUUCUCAAUAAAGGCCCUGGUCAGUUUAUCUCUA